UAGGGAAUCUUCUGCAAUGGACGCAAGUCUGACGGAGCAACGCCGCGUGAGUGAAGAAGGAUUUCGGGUCGUAAAACUCUGUUGUUAGAGAAGAACAGCGCAUAGAGUAACUGUUAUGCGUGUGACGGUAUCUAACCAGAAAGCCACGGCUAACUACGUGCCAGCAGCCGCGGUAAUACGUAGGUGGCAAGCGUUAUCCGGAAUUAUUGGGCGUAAAGCGCGCGUAGGCGGUUUUUUAAGUCUGAUGUGAAAGCCCCCGGCUCAACCGGGGAGGGUCAUUGGAAACUGGUUGACUUGAGUGCAGAAGAGGGGAGUGGAAUUCCAUGUGUAGCGGUAAAAUGCGUAGAUGUGUGGGGGAACACCAGUGGCGAAGGCGACUCUCUGGUCUGUAACUGACGCUGGGACUCGAGAGCGUGGGUAGCAAACAAG
rnacentral:rRNA from 1 species